rnacentral:rRNA from 1 species
UACGUAGGCAGCAAGCGUUGUUCGGAGUUACUGGGCGUAAAGGGUGCGUAGGCGGCUUUUUAAGUUUGGUGUGAAAUCUCCCGGCUCAACUGGGAGGGUGCGCCGAAUACUGAGAGGCUAGAGUGCGGGAGAGGAAAGUGGAAUUCCUGGUGUAGACGGUGGAAAUGCGUAGAUAUCAGGAGGAACACCGGUGGUGUAAACGGCUUUCUGGACCGUAACUGACGCUGAUGCACGAAAGCGUGGGUAGCAAACAGG